GGGGAUUUAGCUCAGUGGUAGAGCGCUUGCCUAUGAAGUGCAAGGCCCUGGGUUCGGUCCCCAGCUCCG
rfam:Rattus norvegicus chromosome 17, whole genome shotgun sequence.